GUGAAUCAUCAAAUCUUUGAACGCAAAUUGCACUUUCUGGUAUUCCGGAAAGUAUGCCUGUUUGAGAGUCAGUUAAAUAAAAAUCGGAGUUAUUGUUGCUUAUUGUGGUGAAGCGUCGAAAUUGAGUUGUAUUACCUUCGGUUAAGUGACAUAAAAUUUUGCAUGAUUUUAGAAAGUAUUUAAAUUUCUUACGUACGUUUGAGAUAUCGAAUACUUUAUUAGGUUCGGUCAUCCUCAUGUUU
rnacentral:misc_RNA from 1 species